rnacentral:rRNA from 1 species
UGGGGAAUUUUGCACAAUGGGGGAAACCCUGAUGCAGCGACGCCGCGUGAUUUAGAAGGCCUUCGGGUUGUAAAAAUCUUUUGUAUGGGAAGAAAAUGACAGUACCAUACGAAUAAGGACCGGCUAAUUACGUGCCAGCAGCCGCGGUAAUACGUAAGGUCCGAGCGUUGUCCGGAAUCAUUGGGCGUAAAGGGUACGUAGGCGGAUAAGCAAGUUAGAAGUGAAAUCCUAUAGCUCAACUAUAGUAAGCUUUUAAAACUGCUCAUCUUGAGGUAUGGAAGGGAAAGUGGAAUUCCUAGUGUAGCGGUGAAAUGCGCAGAUAUUAGGAGGAAUACCGGUGGCGAAGGCGACUUACUGGGCUCAUUCUGACGCUGAGGAACGAAAGCGUGGGUAGCAAACAGG